rnacentral:rRNA from 1 species
AUACGGAGGUGGCGAGCGUUGCCCGGAAUCACUGGGCGUAAAGCGCGCGCAGGCGGCUAUUUAAGUUGGAUGUGAAAGCCUACGGCUCAACCGUAGAACUGCAUCCAAAACUAUUUAGCUAGAGUGUGGGAGAGGAAGAUGGAAUUAGUUGUGUAGGGGUAAAAUCCGUAGAGAUAACUAGGAAUACCAAAAGCGAAGGCAAUCUUCUGGAACACUACUGACGCUGAGGCGCGAAAGCGUGGGGAGCAAACGGGAUUAGAAACCCUAGUAGUCC